CUCGGAGCUUACACAUGCAGUCGAACGAAAUCUUUAGGGAUUUAGUGGCGGACGGGUGAGUAACGCGUGAGAAUCUGCCUUCAGGUCUGGGACAACCACUGGAAACGGUGGCUAAUACCGGAUGUGCCCUUAGGGGUGAAAGAUUAAUUGCCUGAAGAUGAGCUCGCGUCUGAUUAGCUAGUAGGUGUGGUAAGAGCGCACCUAGGCGACGAUCAGUAGCUGGUCUGAGAGGACGAUCAGCCACACUGGGACUGAGACACGGCCCAGACUCCUACGGGAGGCAGCAGUGGGGAAUUUUCCGCAAUGGGCGAAAGCCUGACGGAGCAAUACCGCGUGAGGGAGGAAGGCUCUUGGGUCGUAAACCUCUUUUCUCAGGGAAGAACACAAUGACGGUACCUGAGGAAUAAGCAUCGGCUAACUCCGUGCCAGCAGCCGCGGUAAUACGGAGGAUGCAAGCGUUAUCCGGAAUGAUUGGGCGUAAAGCGUCCGCAGGUGGCUAUGUAAGUCUGCUGUUAAAGAGUCUAGCUCAACUAGAUAAGAGCAGUGGAAACUACAUGGCUAGAGUGCGUUCGGGGCAGAGGGAAUUCCUGGUGUAGCGGUGAAAUGCGUAGAA
rnacentral:rRNA from 1 species